rnacentral:rRNA from 1 species
ACCCGCUGAACUUAAGCAUAUCAGUAAGCGGAGGAAAAGAAACUAACUAGGAUUCCCCGAGUAGCGGCGAGCGAAAGGGGAGAAGCCCAGCGCCGAAGCCCGCGCGUCUCUUGACCGCAGUGCAAUGUGGCGUAUCGGCGGCGACUCGCGGCGUCCGCUCUGGCACGAGUACCUCUGAACGGGUCUGCCCGCAGCGGGUGUCAGGCCUCUACUUGCCGGAGGAGCGGGCGCGUCCUGUCGUCGUCGCGGAGUCGGGUUGCUUGAGAGUGCAGCCCAAAGUGGGUGGUAAGCUCCAUCUAAGGCUAAAUACCUAGUGCGAGACCGAUAGCAAACAAGUACCGUGAGGGAAAGUUGCAAAGAACUUUGAAAAGAGAGUUCAAGAGUACGUGAAACCGUUCAGAGGCAAACGGACGGAACUGGGCGAUUCGGUUGCCUGCCAUUCAGCCGAGGCCGCGCUUGCGCGCGGCCGCGGUGCACUUGGCGGCGGCCGAGCGCGACGACCGCCUGUCGGGUCGUCAGAAGCCCGGCGGCAAGGUGGCGACGCGCUCGCGCGUCGUGUUACAGGCCGCCGAGGCGUUGGCAGACUUGGCGGGCGAGGAGCGCCUGCGGUGCACUCCCCCGCUCGCGGCGGGAGUGGCCCGACGCGGUGGGCUUGCGGACGCCGGCGGCGAACUGCUCGCAGUUUGACGUCGCGCGCGCCGUCUGUCGCGCCGCGCGGUGCCACGUGGCACCCAGGGUCCGGGUCGUGUGGUUCCUGGCACUCCGUCCGACCCGUCUUGAAACACGGACCAAGGAGUUGAGCACGCGCGCGAGUCGAUGGGCUCGCAGAACCCCAGUGGCGCAGCUAAGGCAAAACGGGCGUGAUCCGGCACUGGCGUGUCGGCGCAACGCCGGCCCGCAGGCGACUCGUCGCAAGUGCCUGCGGUGCAAGAGCGCGUGUGCUCAGACCCGAAAGGUGGUGAACUAUGCUUGAGCAGGGCGAAGCCAGAGGAAACUCUGGUGGAGGCUCGCAGCGAUCCUGACGUGCAAAUCGGUCGUCAAACUUGAGCAUAGGGGCGAAAGACUAAUCGAACCGCCUAGUAGCUGGUUCCCUCCGAAGUUUCCCUCAGGAUAGCUGGCACUCGGGAUAAAUGGUUUUAUCCGGUAAAGCGAAUGAUUAGAGGCAUUGGGGACGAAACGUCCUCAACCUAUUCUCAAACUUUAAAUGGGUAAGAGGCGCGACCCUUCCUAAUCGGGGUCGCGUGCUCGAACAGAGAGUGCCCAGUGGGCCGUUUUUGGUAAGCAGAACUGGCGCUGUGGGAUGAACCAAACGUGCGGUUAGGGUGCCUAACGCACGCUCAUGAGACACCACAAAAGGUGUUGGUUGAUAUAGACAGCAGGACGGUGGCCAUGGAAGUCGGAAUCCGCUAAGGAGUGUGUAACAACUCACCUGCCGAAUCAACUAGCCCUGAAAAUGGAUGGCGCUGGAGCGUGCGACCCAUACCGCGCCGUCGGGGCAACGCGUGCGAAAUGCCAGGCCCCGACGAGUAGGAGGGCGUGUCGGUGGCGUUGAAGCGUAGUGCGCGAGCACGCGUGGAGCCGCCUUCAGUGCAGAUCUUGGUGGUAGUAGCAAGUAUACAAAUGAGAACUUUGUAGACCGAAGUGGAGAAGGGUUCCAUGUGAACAGCAGUUGGACAUGGGUCAGUCGGCCCUAAGAGAUCGGAAAAUUCCGUUCUGAACGGGGGAGAGCAGCCGCGCGCAGUGUCUCGCGUGCCGCGUAGGCACCGGUGCCCGUUGCCGCGCCGUCUGAAGCAAUUCGGACCGCCACGCGCGCACCUUUUCUUCUCUCGUAGAGGAAAGGGAGCGGUCAGCGUGAGCGUGAGCGGCCUGACGGCGGGUCGAGUCGAGGCGUUAGCUGCGGAGCGUGCUCUCGCGAACGAGCCCCCGAUGCGAUCGAAAGGGAAUCGGGUUAAUAUUCCCGAACCUGGCAGUGGAGAUUGGGCCCUCGGGCCCCAGUGCGGUAACGCAACCGAACUCGGAGACGCCAGCGUCGAUCCCGGGAAGAGUUCUCUUUUCUUUGUUAGGAGCGGACUCCCUGGAAUUGGCUUGUCCAGAGAUAGGGACGUUGCAUCCGUAAAGCGUCGCGCCUCACGCGGCGUCCGGUGCAUCGGCGUUGGCCCUUGAAAAUCCGAGGGAGGCAGUGUAAUUUUCACUCCAGGCCGUACCCGAAUCCGCAGCAGGUCUCCAAGGUGAACAGCCUCUGGUCGAUAGAACAAUGUAGGUAAGGGAAGUCGGCAAAUCCGAUCCGUAACUUCGGGACAAGGAUUGGCUCUGAGGUGCGGGCUGCUUCGGGUCGCGGCAAGAAGCGGAUCGUGCGUUGGUUGGACUGGGCGCGUUUCGGCGCGUUCGGACCGCCGCCAGCGCGCGUCCGUGGGAGGCCGUGGCUUUCGCCGGCGCGUGCUCGCGCGCGCGUCGGCUUCGUUCGGCCUAAACGCACAGCACAGAACUGGCACGGACUCUG